AGAGUUUGAUCAUGGCUCAGGAUGAACGCUAGCGGGAGGCCUAACGCAUGCAAGCCGAGCGGUAUUGUUUCUUCGGAAAUGAGAGAGCGGCGUACGGGUGCGGAACACGUGUGCAACCUGCCUUUAUCUGGGGGAUAGCCUUUCGAAAGGAAGAUUAAUACUCCAUAAUAUAUUGAACGGCAUCGUUUAAUAUUGAAAGCUCCGGCGGAUAGAGAUGGGCACGCGCAAGAUUAGCUAGUUGGUGAGGUAACGGCUCACCAAGGCGAUGAUCUUUAGGGGGCCUGAGAGGGUGAUCCCCCACACUGGUACUGAGACACGGACCAGACUCCUACGGGAGGCAGCAGUGAGGAAUAUUGGUCAAUGGGUGCAAGCCUGAACCAGCCAUCCCGCGUGAAGGACGACUGCCCUAUGGGUUGUAAACUUCUUUUGUAUAGGGAUAAACCUACCCUCGUGAGGGUAGCUGAAGGUACUAUACGAAUAAGCACCGGCUAACUCCGUGCCAGCAGCCGCGGUAAUACGGAGGGUGCAAGCGUUAUCCGGAUUUAUUGGGUUUAAAGGGUCCGUAGGCGGACUUAUAAGUCAGUGGUGAAAGCCUGUCGCUUAACGAUAGAACUGCCAUUGAUACUGUAAGUCUUGAGUAUAUUUGAGGUAGCUGGAAUAAGUAGUGUAGCGGUGAAAUGCAUAGAUAUUACUUAGAACACCAAUUGCGAAGGCAGGUUACCAAGAUAUAACUGACGCUGAGGGACGAAAGCGUAGGGAGCGAACAGGAUUAGAUACCCCGGUAGUCCAA
rnacentral:rRNA from 1 species